AGACAGCCUCGGCGGGCGGACCCGCGGCGCCGAUGACGCACAUCAGCGCGAGGAACGUUCCGAAGAUUAAUGCCGAUUUGGCAUCCCCGAGCCACGCGGGCGGCGGGCGAGCGUCUUCGUUUUGGUCGGUGGAACCCUCGGCACCUUGGUCGGCACCCUCGGCACCCGAAAGGUCGGAUUGACCCUUGGCGACGAUGUUGUUCUGAUUCUGAUUGGAGUUGGGCUUUGCCGGCGGCGGGGGCGGCGGGAACAUAACCUGGAAGUCCUGGGUCACGAGCGCGCCGCGAACGGCUUCGUCGUCGUGCCUAAUCUCG
rnacentral:lncRNA from 1 species